rnacentral:rRNA from 1 species
UACGUAGGGGGCAAGCGUUGUCCGGAAUUACUGGGCAUAAAGCGCACGUAGGCGGUCCACUAAGUCUCAUGUGAAAUCUCCCGGCUCAACCGGGGAAUUGCGCGAGAUACUGGUGGGCUAGAGAUCGGUAGGGGUGAGUGGAACUCCAGGUGGAGCGGUGAAAUGCGUAGAUAUCUGGAGGAACACCGGUGGCGAAAGCGGCUCACUGGACCGACACUGACGCUGAGGUGCGAAAGCUAGGGUAGCAAACGGG